rnacentral:rRNA from 1 species
AGUGAACGCUGGCGGUAGGCCUAACACAUGCAAGUCGAACGGCAGCACAGUAAGAGCUUGCUCUUACGGGUGGCGAGUGGCGGACGGGUGAGGAAUACAUCGGAAUCUACUUUUUCGUGGGGGAUAACGUAGGGAAACUUACGCUAAUACCGCAUACGACCUACGGGUGAAAGCAGGGGAUCUUCGGACCUUGCGCGAUUGAAUGAGCCGAUGUCGGAUUAGCUAGUUGGCGGGGUAAAGGCCCACCAAGGCGACGAUCCGUAGCUGGUCUGAGAGGAUGAUCAGGCACAAUGGAACUGAGACACGGGCCAGACUCCUAAGGGAGGCAGCAGUGGGGAAUAUUGGACAAUGGGCGCAAGCCUGAUCCAGCCAUACCGCGUGGGUGAAGAAGGCCUUCGGGUUGUAAAGCCCUUUUGUUGGGAAAGAAAAGCAGCAGGUUAAUACCCCGCUGUUCUGACGGUACCCAAAGAAUAAGCACCGGCUAACUUCGUG